rnacentral:lncRNA from 1 species
CACAAUCAUAUUUUCAUACAGCUGCUACAGUGCAACCCCUCUUACUUUGCCAACAGGAUGUAUGCCAUAUGAAAUGGAGAAACAAUUCUACCUUUGUUUUUCACCAUCAAAAGAAGUAUCAAAGUCAGAAAGAAGUUAUGAGAAAUCAUAUUUUAUGUUUUUUUUCUGCAACACACUAAGUAACCUAAUUUUGUUACUUAUUACAAAUGCUGUUGACUGCGAU